rnacentral:rRNA from 1 species
GACGAACGCUGGCGGCGUGCUUAACACAUGCAAGUCGAACGGAAAGGCCCUGCUUUUGUGGGGUGCUCGAGUGGCGAAGGGGUGAGUAACACGUGAGUAACCUGCCCUUGACUUUGGGAGAACUUCAGGAAACUGGGGCUAAUACCGGAUAGGAGCUCCUGCUGCAUGGUGGGGGUUGGAAAGUUUCGGCGGUUGGGGAUGGACUCGCGGCUUAUCAGCUUGUUGGUGGGGUAGUGGCUUACCAAGGCUUUGACGGGUAGCCGGCCUGAGAGGGUGACCGGCGACCUUGGGCCUGCGAUACGGCCCAGACUGCUACCGGAGGCAGCAGUGGGGAACAUUGCACAAUGGGCGGGAGCCUGAUGCAGCAACGCCGCGUGCGGGAUGCCCUCCUUCGGGUUGUAAACCGCUUUCGCCUGUGACGAAGCGUGAGUGACGGUACUGGGUAAAGAAGCACCGGCUAACUACGUG